CAAUCAUUUUCUAAAAAAUUAUCUCACUAUGGAUUUUAUUCAUUUUCUUUGAUAGCUAUUCUUUGCAUUUUUUUAACUUGAAAGGUGCUUUGCAUGUGCAGUGAAUCUGAGUGUCGACUUCCAGUGAGAGAUUUGGACAUUGUCAGACCUGCUCAAGACGCAAUAGUGCUAAAUUCAGGCUUAGUGACAAAAUAUGAUUAUGAAAUCUGAUAUCUGUGUUGUAAUUAUUCUGACUCAACCCAAAGGGUUAAAAAAUUGUUUCAACUAUCUGAGAAUGAACUCUAGAAAAGAUGGGUCAUGAUUUGAGUAAAGCCUGUUCUGCACUCUUUUACUAAGCAGUGUUUUUGAAGCACACACUAUAGCAGCGAGACAGUGGGAUGUUUUAUACAGUUACAUAAUGGAUCCCAUCAACUUGGAGGCAAACAGGCUCCUUGGGCGUCCUUGGAGCACUUAAUUUUAUUUAAAUAUUAGCCCAUCUCAGAAUCAUUUUCUUUCAUGCCAUUUCAGUAUUUCUACUGUUUAAAUAUCCUGGUCUUAGAUUUCUUGUCCUAUGUUUAACAGCAGACAUUUUGUACAUAGUAGCCAUUGCUAAUUCUGUUGUUGUUGUUGUUGUUGUUGUUGUUGUUGUUGUUGUUGUUGUUACCAUAUUUAAAAACCUUGACAGUCAUUCAUAGAUUCUCACAUCCCCCUGGGAGGUAGAUAGGUGGGGCUCCCACCCAAAACCUCUGCACGGACUGCCCUCCUGCCAGAAGUUGUCUAAGACAAAGGUCAAAACAAGGGUGUUAAUAAACAGCCCUCAGGUUUAAGGGACUUUUUAGGAUUACAUCUUAAAUUCCAACAAAUCAGAUUUAGGAGUUGCUGAAAGUGAAAUUGACCCAUCCCUCAUCCAAACUUUGCUAUACUUUCCUGUUGUGACAUGGCUGAGGUAGUGAGCUGUAUUGUCAGAUUAGAAUCCAUUGUACCCGGCUGCUGAAAGGAAGAGGAGGCAAAAAGCUAAACACGGGAUGAAUUCUGAACCUUUUAACCUGGCUGAAGUAUGUUGGUUGCUGUUAUGCAAAUACCUUCAAUCCUCUGCUAAGUUCCGUGGAAAUAAUUUUCUUGAAUGACAGGUUGAUUCAGCAAGGAUUCGGUCGCUGAUUAAUCCCCCUUUGAUCUAGGGUAUUUUCCUUAACCACCAGUUACCUCGUUCUGACAAAGUGCAACUGAGAUUAGGGAGAUCACUAGAACACUCCCAGCCUGCGCGUCUAUUCUCUAUAACCUUUUAAAGCAAGGGCCAAGAAUGCAAUUUAGUCUCAGUUUUUGAAGAUGUAAAGUCUUGUCUGCUAAGUUAGAAAGUCAAUUGAAUACCAAAUGAAGUUUAUUUCUUACAUAAAAGAACAAACAUCUCUUCUUUGCUCUCCCUAACAAUGAUAUUAAGAAUCAUGGGCUUUGAAGAGAGGAAAAACAAAGGCUACCUUCCAAAUACAACUCUGUGCUCUGGGCAUGUUUACUGCCCCCCAGACACCCAAGGUUCCGAGCAGUGGCUACAGUAUGCUGAGAAAACACUUGUGUUUCAUGAGACUGCAGUGUCUUCUCAUGUCCCCAGCCAUCCCCAGAAGAACUAGGCAACACACUGUGUGGCACAGAAUUCCUGUUAGGGAAACAUGCAACAUGCAAUCUUGUUAGCUUUUUUCUUCUUGAAGAAGAAAAGUAGCAUCUCCUAGUCUUAUUAAAUAACAACCGCAUUCAUUUUCCACACUCGAUCAUCAUCCUGCUAAGUGUCUCUGCCUUCUGCUUUACCUUCUCUCCCAUGUUUGAUUUUGAAAUAGUCGGUACAGUUUAAGGAAAAAAAUAGGUAUGUCUCAUACUGUUUUUCAAAGAAUUCACUUUUUAAAACUAUUAUCAAUAUUAGUAUUUAUUUUGCAAGAUGUCAGAGUGAUUCAAGGAUGCUUCAUGUCUAUAAAAUAUAAAGAUAUAUAAUAUACACACAAUUAUUUGUAACAAUUUGUUUUUAAUUAUCAAGUUUUUAUUAAUGAUUCACUUUAUAAAUAAGAUGAAACAAAAUGUUAUAUAAUUUCUUCAUUAUUCUAGUAGCAAUCUACAAUAAAACUUAAUGUUUAAACAAUUUCUUAUGCUUUUUUACUCAAACCUUUUACAAUUUUGUAAUUAAUUUAUAAAUCAAAAUAACUCGAAGAAAUGCAUAUACAAAUUUGUGACAUACUAGCCUCCUGUAGUCCCUAUUUAAUCAUCAAUUUUCAGAUACUUUGGGGGUUAGAAAAAAUAUAGAAGAUACUGUUAAAGGGCAAGAUUCCACAGUUAUGCUGCUAAGAAACACAUGUUUAGUAGCUAACUGCUCCGUGUAAUAAAAAGGCAGUGAGUAUUCACUUUUUUAAAAUGUGUCAUCAUGGAGUAUGCAAUAUAGGCAUCUGUGUGUUCCUGAAGUGUAUUCCAUGCCUGCUCAACUGAGUUUUCCUGUGAGCCAUUCCAGCAUUGUUUCAGGGGAAGAAAAAUAUUGUGACAUCUCUUCAGAUAUGUUUGCAAACAUUGUUAGUUCAUAGUAAUGAAGAGAUUCAUUAAAAUGAAAAUCACUAAGAGCCCCUUGAGAUUUGUCUUAGAAAAUGGUUAAAAAUCCUCCCGAGCUGCUGGGUUUCCACCAGCCUUUCUUUUUCUUCACCUCCUGCCUUACAGAUGUAACACAUUGUCCAUAGGGACCCUGGAGAAGGACCCUGGCAUAGCUCACUCCCUGCUCCCCAUCCCGGAAGCUCCUCUGCGGUCUGGGUUGACUCUUCUCAGAGCCUGAGACUGUGUAACUGACAUCAGUGUGUUUCUUAGUGUCCAGCUUUAACAUGCCGAAUGCCCAGGAAUGGAAAGAUGGCUUUCCUAUGAGGAAGUAAAAUUUUGAAAACUGUAUGUGUAUCCUUUAAAUGUUCUUUUUUAGAUGAUAAUUUUUCUAAAAGAAAAUUGUACUUAAUAACUACUGGUAAUGAUGAUAAUUUUAAAAAUUAAAAAUUGUUAAUCCUUAACAUGUUUACCUUUUCUUCAAGAGACUUGAGUGCCCUCUGCAGGUUAUAAGUAAAUAACCAAUGACUAUUAUUUCAAACUUCGGUUUUUCCCUAUACAAAAAGCAUCACCUGCUUACUUCAAAUCUCGGGAAAGAAGUGAGCCCAUUUAUAUUGUUAGCUAUUACCUUUCAGUGAUUAAAGUGGGAAUCUCCUUUCUCUACU
rnacentral:lncRNA from 1 species